AUUGAUACCUAAUGCUAUUUAUACUAUUGGAGUGAGAGCAUAUACUAGUAUUGGACCAGGAGAAUGGACUGCAGAAACAAUUAACAUUGCAAAGGUAGGCAGUUUUACUCUCAAAUACCUCAACUCAACUACUGUACAAAUGAAUUGGCUACCUAUUCCAGGGACCAGCUACUAUACUAUCUAUUACAACAGUGGGUAUGAUGUUGACUCAAUGAAUGCUAGCAAUGAAACAAAUGAAGUUAUUAUACCAGAGUUGUACUCAUGCCUUAGCUAUUCAUUUGAGAUGUCAGUGACUAUAGAAAUAAAUGGAAUUUAUUAUGAAGGACCUAGAACUGUACCAACAGUUACAGAGCUACCAACAGUGGACCUCUCUUCCUAUUCUUACACAGAAGCAAUAAGUA